UACAGAGGGUGCGAGCGUUGUUCGGAAUUAUUGGGCGUAAAGGGCGCGUAGGCGGUGCGGUAAGUCACCUGUGAAAUCUCCUGGCUCAACUGGGAGCUUGCAGGCGAAACUGCCGUGCUGGAGUGUGGGAGAGGUGCGUGGAAUUCCUGGUGUAGCGGUGAAAUGCGCAGAUAUCAGGAGGAACACCGGUGGCGAAGGCGGCUUUCUGGUCUGUAACUGACGCUGAGGCGCGAAAGCGUGGGGAGCAAACAGG
rnacentral:rRNA from 1 species